GAUAAACGCUGGCGGCGUGCCUAAUGCAUGCAAGUCGAACGAGGGCGUCCUUCGGGGCGUUUCGAGUGGCGGACGGGUGAGGAACACGUACGAGACCUGCCCAUCGGUUGGGAAUACCCCCUCGAAAGGGGGGCUAAUGCCGGAUACGGUCCCUGGCAGCAAGGCUGGGGAGGAAAGCCCGAGAGGGCGCCGAUGGAGGGGCGUGCGGCCGAUUAGCUGGUUGGUGGGGUAAAGGCCUACCAAGGCUGCGAUCGGUAGCUGGUCUGAGAGGAUGGUC
rnacentral:rRNA from 1 species